rnacentral:rRNA from 1 species
GUCUAUGGCCAUGCCACCCUGAACAAGCCCGAUCUCAUCUGAUCUCGAAAGCUAAGCAGGGUUUGGCCUAGUUAGUACCUGGAUGGGAGACCACCUAGGAAAAUCAGGUGCUGUAGGAG